GGGGAUGUGGCUCAGUGGUAGAGCAUUUGCCUAGCAUAUGUGAGGCCCUGGAUUCAAUCCCUAGCACCACCA
rnacentral:tRNA from 1 species